UACGUAGGGUGCGAGCGUUGUCCGGAAUUAUUGGGCGUAAAGAGCUUGUAGGCGGUUUGUCGCGUCUGCUGUGAAAAUCCGGGGCUUAACCCCGGACCUGCAGUGGGUACGGGCAGACUAGAGUGUGGUAGGGGAGACUGGAAUUCCUGGUGUAGCGGUGAAAUGCGCAGAUAUCAGGAGGAACACCAAUGGCGAAGGCAGCUCGCUGGGACGGUACUGACGCUGAGACGCGAAAGCGUGGGGAGCAAACAGG
rnacentral:rRNA from 1 species